CAGCCGCCACGGGAAUACGAAGGGUGCAAGCGUUGUUCGGAUUUACUGGGCGUAAAGCGCACGUAGGCGGAUCGAUCAGUCAGGGGUGAAAUCCCAGAGCUCAACUCUGGAACUGCCUUUGAUACUGUCGAUCUGGAGUUUGGAAGAGGUGAGUGGAAUUCCGAGUGUAGAGGUGAAAUUCGUAGAUAUUCGGAAGAACACCAGUGGCGAAGGCGGCUCACUGGCUCAUACUGGACGCUGAGGUGCGAAAGCGUGGGGAGCAAACAGGAUUAGAUACCCGUGUAGUCCCUGUCUCUUAUAC
rnacentral:rRNA from 1 species